rnacentral:misc_RNA from 1 species
UGAAGCUGUUGCUGGCCUCUAGGGGCAUGUGCACGCUUCAUCAGUCCAUUCAACCACCUGUGCACUUUUUGUACAUCAUUGAAGUCAUCUCUCAGAUAGUGCUUGGAUGUCGGGAGGUUCUUAUACCUUCGGCUGACUCUCAGUGAUCUAAUUUACACACCCUAAUGUAU